rnacentral:rRNA from 1 species
UACGAAGGGAGCUAGCGUUGUUCGGAAUCACUGGGCGUAAAGCGCACGUAGGCGCUUGUAGUAGAGGUGAAAGCCCAGGGCUCAACCCUGGAAUUGCCUUUAAGACUGCAUCGCUUGAACAUCGGAGAGGUAAGUGGAAUUCCGAGUGUAGAGGUGAAAAUUCGUAGAUAUUCGGAAGAACACCAGUGGCGAAGGCGACUUACUGGACGAUUGUUGACGCUGAGGUGCGAAAGCGUGGGGAGCAAACAGG